GGCUACUAACUUGGGUCACACGGCCAGUCACACGCCCGUGUGUCUACCCCGUGCUUAAAACUGACUUGGCCACAUGGCUUGGCACAUACCCGUGUGUGCGAUCGUGUGGUCUAGUAGCCACGAGGGAGAGGCUAAGUAAGCCUUUUACCAACUGAUGAAUGAUUGAUUCACUCAGUAUAUAAGCACCAAUCCAGCUGUGCCACAUCCUUCACCCCCG
rnacentral:lncRNA from 1 species